GUAAUGAAAAUGGAAGGGAACAUAGGUACAGGGGGAAUUUCAUGGAGCAGAGACUGAUUAAAAAACGUUAGCCACCUCUACCCCUAUCACCAACAGCUCCUGUCACUUGCCUCGAACUACCAACGAAACAAACAAGAAUCAUAUCCAAGAAUCACUCAGCACUGCUGGGACUCCAAACCCCGAAAAACAAGCCUACACUAUCAUCUCUACCAAACCCGAUACCAUCCUCCAUCAACACCCCCAACCUGAACUGCCACACCUUACUGCCAUACCCGCCACCUCCAACAGCCCCAUAUGCAACCACUACCAUCAUCUAAACCUAUCAGCCUAACCGAAAUCCCUUCGGCACUUACCAAUCGCACACUCAAACACAUUCCUUCCUUCCACCGAAAAUCACCAAACUACCUGAACUUCUAAUCCACACCAAUGAGGACCAUCUUCAGCAGCCACCAGCACCCUCCACUCCCUUCAUUAGCACCCUAUAGCCGAACAGCCCAUCCACACCAACCCAACACCCAGACUCAACCUGAGAACAUCCCUUUCCAUAAACCAGACACUGCCCCCGAGAAAAAAAGAAAAAACCCCAUUGCCCUACCCACUGCCCUCCGCAAAGCCC
rnacentral:lncRNA from 1 species